AUUCUCCCCAAAAAAAGCAAAUUAAUUUUGCCAGCAUUCUUCUUCCCCAUGGCAGCACACUCUUCGGAUUAGUCGUUGCUAACUCCAACGUGCUCCUUAGUUCGGGGUGAAGGCCUAAGAACAAACAAACACAAAAAAGAGUCAUUUAUCAUGGCGAUGCGUAUACAACAAUGUCAUUUGGCUCAAAUGAUGGUGUGAACAUACCCGGAAGAUGGUGGCGUGGCCGGGGUCAGCGAGGUGGGCGAAGAGGUUGUCAAUGGGGCCGGUGCCGGUGUACUCUGCCUGGAACCACGCGCCCAUGACGGCGAGCAUGGCGAGACGGCCGUUCUUGAUCUCCUUGGUGCGCAGCUCCUUGAUCUUCUCCGGCGAGCCGGAGCCGUAGCCGAGCGGGUCAAACCACAGACCACCAGGGUACCUAACAUUUCCAACACACAAACACAAUGAACCGAUCAGCCUAUUUGUUAGUAGCACACAAGGAAGGAGACCGAGACAUGGAAUUAAAGCAAGUGUGUGUAUAUAUGUAUACCCGACGUCGGUGCCGGUGAGCUUGUUGUUGGGGAAGAUGGGGUCGGUGUUGACGCAACCGGGCUUGAUGAUGUCGGCCCACCGGCGGCCCUCGGCCCAUCCGAUGAGGAUGAGCUCGACGAUGAAGAGCGUGGUGGUGUCGGCGAAGUAGGUCUGCUCGCCGGCCGUGUACCACGACGGGGUGUUGAGGAUGCCGAUCUUGGUCAGGAGCUCCGGGAUGAAGAUCCCCGCCGCGCCCAGCAUCGCCCACCGGCAGUGCACCAGCUCCGCCUGCACGUUCCACCGCAAGCUCUCCGGGUCCGAUCCUACGCACGCACAAAAAUUAAUCAAAUUAGCCCACAACAAAGCCCAUCAAAUUAAGACUGCCACAUGUCAAAGAGAUUGAUCAGGGCUUACCGAGGCCCCAGGGAUCAAAGCCGAAGUCGCCCGGGAGGCUGCCGUCGAGCCACGGGGGAGGGGUGCUCCCGGGGAACCAGAUGGGCCUCUCGGGCGCCGCGGCGCGCACGGCGAACGACGGCCGCGCCGCCGCCGCCCUGCCGGCGGCGCCGCCGAGGAAGGAGGUCCGCGCGCCGGCGAGCCCGUUGCUGGGGAGCGCCGCGACGGCGGCGGGGGAGGAGGAGGAGGAGGAGACGAGCGCCAUCGUCGUCCGCUAGCUGUGUAGCUCUGCGCGCGCGUGCGUGGGGUGUGCGAGUGAGAGGUGGUGUGCGUGUGGCGCGCGGCAGUUUAUGGGCGAUCUAGGCGCGGGCCCCUGGUUAUCCGGGAGGAGAUAGCGAGCGCGGCCGUGGCGUGCCACGCGGCAAGGGGGAAUCCGAUCCCUUGGCUGCGGGCGUCUCGCGGGGUGCUGACGUGGGGGGCAGCCAGGCGGCGGCCUGAUGAAAAUCAGGGGGCGGCACGCGAUUGGACGACGCGCUCGACAUUUCGCGCCCGAGUUGCAGACUUGUAGUAUAUCGACAAGAUGAUAUAUGUGGCAUCUAUCCACGAAGCGAAGAAAUAAGGGGGCUAAUUAGGGGCGUGGGUUGCAUUGCCAAUUUGCCGUAAUGCCAUUGCACGACUGCAUCUCACAAUGCAAAGGGCGGAAAAGUUCUUUAAAACCGUGCUAACCUUUUAUCGAGGGAGGAAGUAUCUUCCAAAAGGGAGCUGUACCGUUGACAUGAUUCACACACUAAUUCAAACGAGUCUACUUGGUCUAAAGUAAUCCAUAGUUAUAAUUUUGACACAUAUGGCGAUUUGUUCCUCUCCAAACUUACAUAAUAUUAAUCUAAUACGAAUGGUCAGACACUGAAAACGAGAAAUGUCUUGAUCCAAGUGCACAAAUCUAUAUGGUAUGUUUUGUGGUACGGAAAAAGUACCAAUUUAUAUCAUGUACCUGAUAUAUUGCUCCCAUGAACUCAACAUGACAUUAACUUGCUAAUGACUUGAUAUAAAUUGGCAAGUUAAGGAACUUUAUUUUUCUAGCAACAGUCAAAACAAAAAGGAUGUUUGACACGCAAAACCACCGUCAGCAAAGUAAUGUCAACUACUCCCUCCAUCUCUUAUAUUUGUACAUUUGGGUUAUUUUAAGUCAAAACUUUCUUAACUUUGACGGUGUCUGUAGAAAAAAAAACAGCAACACAUGUAACACCGAACAAAUGCGAUAUGAAAAUAUAUUUGAUAAUAGUCCUAAAGGUAAUAGUCUGGUGUUGUUUAUAAUUUUCUUAUACAAACUUGGUCAAAGUUGACAAGCUUUGAUUUGGGACAAACCCAAAUGGAGAGAUAUUUUGAAACAGAGGGAGGACAUUGCGAGCCUGAGCCAACGGUAGAUGAUGCGAUCAAGCUUGUCUAAAUCGAACUGUGACCACCCUACUGAUUAUUUCGUGUUUAUUCAUAUCAAAUCUUCCUCAAGUCUACUCCGAAGCUACUACUAUAACCUUUUAAGUUUUUAAUAUAUUCUUUGCCAGUGGCUUCCACAUCAACUUUUCCACAUUUUGAAGUUUAAAGAGACGCGUCGCUAUUUCUCCAAGUUCUUUAUUUACGCCAUUUGUCCCUUCGACAGAAUGGCUCCCAAAUUCAACAUUGUUAACACUACAAACUGACACAUGCAUUUUGGCCCUACUUUUCAGUCGGUGCGGUUACAACCAAGUGACCAACACCCUGUUAUUUUGAAAAGAGCACCUGCUCCAACAAAACUUGACAGCAUCUUGCGACAGAUCACGAAAGUCGAAAGGAGUAGAACUCUGUGAUGUACACACACGUUGCAUCACCAAAUCAAGAGCACCUCACGGAUUUCCCUCUUCUCACCUUUUCCUCCACUAACUUGCACUCUCGAUAUUCAUCAUACAGACCAAAAAGAAAAGGGGGAUGCGACCCUCAAAAAGGAAGAAAGGGAGGGUGCACCAACACACCCUUGCUGAUCUCCUUUGAGAAACUGUCGGUAGAACCAGGAAUUCCUUCGUGUUCAUACUUCUAUACGAAGAGCUUCAUGUGCAGAUGUGCUAGUUAACGCAAUCAAAAGACCGAUAUGAUGGAAAUGGUUAGUCAAUCCAUUUAUACUUCAACACGUGUGGCUCCCUUAUGCCUAAACGUGCGUGUCACAAUUUAAUUUCGGCAGCUGGGUUUUGAACUCAAAACCUCUUGACUCUAAUAUCACGAAGAGUUUCAUGCGCUAGCCAACGCAACCAAAAGACCAAUCUAAUGAAAAAGGUUAGACAAUCCACUUAUACUUCAACAUUAUACAGUAAUAUUUUGCAAAAGGUGCGACCGUGGCCGGAUUCAGAUUGUUUCACAUCAUUAGGUAAAUACAUAACUGAUCAAAUGCCAUAAGACAACAUCUCAGAUAACAAAUUUGUUCAACGUAGGCGGCAGGGCUUGCUGUGGAGUUCCUUUGCAGAUUUAACAGAUCUUAUGUCAUGCCCAAAAUUCGGUCUUUGCACAGUCGUGCAUUAUUCUGAGAUGCCCACAAUCUAGCAAGAAAAACUCCCCGGACCUGUGUUCACUCAAACAUGGUUGAAGGGCACGUUCUUCUUGGAUCCAUGUUUGGCCUUGACCAUCUGAUUCAAGGCCUUCAUGCACCUGCGGAUAAUCCCCGUAGGCUUCUUCGCUCCAUCAGAUCGCCUUAUCACCAUGGCCAGUGUCGUGCCGCCGGUUGGUGCUGCCCCCAGAGCUCUAUAAUCAGCAAAGGCAUUCUCCCCGCAGCUGAAGUUGCUGUUAGCUUUUGCAUCUCCAGUGCCAAGCUGCUUCUCUCGUAUCAGCUCCAGAAGGGAAAACCUGGGUACGCCGUCGAUAGGCGGUGGCGUGAUCGGCUUAUUUACGCUUUUACGUUGCUCCGGGGCCUUCUGCUCUAUGUGUUGGCGCUCCUGCUGUGCAUUCUGCUCUUCAUCUUGAUAUUGCUCUGAUGUCUUCUCAUCUUCAUCUCGGCAAUGCUUACCCAUUUUCUCCUCAUCUUGGUACAGCUCUGGUGCCUUUUGCUCCUCAUCUUGUUCUUGGCAUCCCUGCUGUGCCUUCUGCUCUUCAUCUUCACAUUGCUCUGAUGUCUUCUCGUCUUCAUCUUGGCAUUGUUUACCAGCCUUCUCCUCAUCUUGGUAUAGCUCUGGUACCUUUUUCUCCACAUUUUGGCAUUGCUCUGGUGCUUUAUUAUCUUCAUACUGCUGCAAUAUCUUCUGCUCAUCAUCUAGGUAUUCCUUCGGUACAUUCUGCCCUUCGUCUUGAUAUUGCUCUGGUGUCUUCUCAUCUUGUUGGCACAGUUUAGCUGUCUUCUGCUCUUCAUCUUGGUAUUGCUCUGGUGUCUUCUCCUCAUCUUGGUGUUGUUGUGGUGUCUUGUGCUCCUCAUCCUGAUGAUGCUUCGGUAUGGUCUGCUCCUCCUCUUGAUACUGCUGUGGUUUCUCCUGCUCUUCAUCUUGAUACUGCUGCAGUUUCUUCUCCUCAUCCUCGUUUUGGUGUUGGCUGGGUGUCUUUUGCUCCUCAUAUAGGCACUGCUCUGGUGCCUUCUCAUCUUGGUGUUGUGGUGCCGUCUUCUCCUCCUCAUCUUGAUAUUGCUUUGGUAUGUUGUGCUCCUCAACUUGAUACUCCUGUGGUUUCUUCUCCUGCUCUUCAUCUCCAUAUUGGUGCGGUUUCUUCUCCCACUCAUCUUGAUAUUGCUCUGGUGCCUUCUGCUCAACAACUUCCCACAGCUGUGGUCCCUGUGGAAUCUCCAUCUUCUGAUCUGCAUCCUCACAUUGCUGAGGUGCCUGCAGCUCUGCAUCUUGGCACUGGAACAAUGUCUUCAGCCUGGCUUCUUGGAGUAGCUGCCGUGCCAGGGGAGGCACAUACCGAUCUUCAUAACAAGCGACAAGGCUUGUCGGUCUUCGUGUUCGCCUUGACAUGGCACGAUUGAAGCGGCGGGAUUUGUUCUCAUCACAUUCGGUGGCCAUUGUUUGGGGUAUGAGGAGAGAUCACCAGAAAGAGUUGGUUGCUCCUUCUCUGGGAUGGAGAAGUUAUAGGCCGCCUGAUGUGUUGAGAUGUGCAGUCUGAGUCUAUACUGUGGUGAACUGGUGGAAUGUCCAUUUCAAAGGUUUAGUCUGAUUUGUUUAUGAUUUAGAAGAUGACCUGUCUUAGUAGCCUUUCAUUCCUACAUGAAGUAAGAUUGAAGUUAGCAAUGUUAAGCAAGGGACCAAUAUUCAGCCUUAAACAACUGAUUCCUUGUCCAGUAGUACACUUCGAUCGUACUAUGUUGACAACAUACCAUGAAUCAGACUGUACAAGGAAUAAUAAAAAGUAGGCAGAAUUUCAGAAACAAAGAACAUUCAUGUGUGAUUGAAGCUAUACCCAGCAGCCUAGCAAUUGAUAACCAGCAAAAUUUGGUUUCAAGUGAAAGUUUGACUGACAGGGUUAACAUAGUUUGACUGAAUAAAUUAAUCGACUGUACACACAAUUGAAAUGUGAAAAGGUUUCUGGUCAGUGAACCUUCCCUUCUGCUUAUUACAUGGUAUUUUUGCUCGUAUGAACAAAUCUCACUGUCAUUUCAAAAUUCAGAGAGAAGCUAAAUAUCAUUGCAGGAACUGGCUCAUAAAAGAGAACCGACUCAGAAGAAUUGCUAGGGGCAACUUUGAUCAGUAUAACACAAUUAAAGCCAAUUCUGCACCUAAAAGCUAACACUGAAAUAGUGCUUGUAAAGCACAUCUUUAUGUCACAACUCAGAUUAAACAAACAAUUGAUCCUUUGCCAAAUUCUACAUUUCAGUCUACAUAAAGGAUUAUUAAUUUACAGAAUCAGUAUUCUUUCUUAGCUGCAGACAGGACUCCCUAUCUGGCAAACCUCAUUGUCCAUUCAGCAGCUAUUUCAUCAUGCUUAGCUCUAUCAGUCAAGUACAAACGUGCAAUUCUCUCCACAAGUGGGUUAUCUGCACAUACAAAACAUCAUAUAGUGUAAGGCUUUCAAGUAGAAAUAAAGCAAUGAUUGUGCAGAAACUAGGCAGUAAAUUAGUUCGAAUAUAUUCCAUUUUACACAGAAGGUAGUUCAGAAAAUGGGAUCUUGGUAAUACUGGAACAUACAUGGAUCUGGAUUUGUGAUGAUGGCUUUGAUCGCCAGUAGCACCUUUGAAAUAGUUAAGGCUGGACUCCAGCCAUCCUUCAAAAUCUCCAAACUCACUGUCCCAGUGGAGUCAACAUUACAGUGAUAAAUCCUUGUUUUGAAAGUCACCUAGGAAAGUGACAGCACAAUUGUCACCACAAGUUAAUCCCUGGUGCUAAAAUAUUGGAUUGAAUUACCGUUUGCAAAUUUACCAUGAUAAUCAUCACUUGUAAAAUCAGCAUAUAGACGUAUGGUGUAUAUGCUACAGUAUAAUUGAGUAACCUUUUCUUUAAGAAACGUUGACAGAGUCACACACUACAGACAUAUUAUUUCAACUAUGAUUGCCAUGGUGACCUGUGUUUGGUUUAUGCCUAGUUCCGCAUGCUGGUCGUGGUACAUGUAGCACACAGUAAAGCUUUUUUUUCUUUUCGGAAAGGACACACUGUAAAGCUUUGAGGUAGGUAAAACUAGUGCUAGCACAGUUAUAUUACUGAAAUCCGGAAAUGGAGGUUGGCUGUUGCUGAUCCCUCGUAUCCCAACCUACCACUAAGGCAUCAUCUGUCAAAGGUAUUAGGUGGACCUCCAAAACGUGUUGGUGGACUAUAGCCAGCAGAUGGAUACUGAUAAAUCAAUAAGACCAGUAAAUAGACAGGAAUCUGUGCCAGGCUUGCUAAUUACAUAAUUCUCUUAUAGACUUGUAAUCUAAGCAAAGAUAUGCCAAAAUACAAACAAUACGUCAACAAAAGAUAAAGAUGAACUCAAGAACAUAGAUGUAACUAGCAAGGCUUCCAGUGGACAAAAUCUUUCUUUGCAAAAUCUUUUCUCCUGUUGUCUCCUGGUGGCGCCGGUUGUGAUGUUAGUCUUGCGUCCGUUGGUUGUGGUCUUAUUUGAGUGGUCGGUUGUGUCGCCUCUUCUUGGGCUUGUAAGUACAUUCUUUCUGUCAAUGCAUCGAGACGCAAGCUCUGCGUUUUUCGAAAAGAAAAUCUUUUCUCGACAAAGCAUUAGCUAAAAGCAUGCCAUAGCAUAAGUCAGGAGAACUAGAAAAAACAACACCUUAGCAUCUGCAGAGUUUUUUCCCCUCUGAAUACAAAUUGUGAAACAGAAACUCCAGAUAUGUUUUCUUUGCACAUAAUCAACAUAGUAGUGAAUAGAUGAAAGAAAAUCAUGACACUUCUUGUGACUAGGGAAACACACAUCAUUUCAGUAGAAACAAAAGGAACAUUAAUUAGCAGCGAAGUAAACUCCCUUUUACGCAACCCUUUUCUUUUCAUCUAGGUUCUUCAGCAUCAUGCUCUUUGCUGGCUUCUCCAUGUUUCCCCAGAAUUGUGACCACUGAAGUGUGGUAUUUCUGGAUGAAUCUUGAUUCUUGACUGACAACUCAAUACAGUUUCCUCUUUCCAGGUUUUUUUUACUGAAUUAUGGUAGUGGUUAGAAGUUUGGCGAUAACAAACUUUCAUGUCAAAUUCUCUUUUUGCAUGGUUAUCAUUCCAUUACCUACUGAGAAUGAUUUUACUGAGAAAAUUUAGGAUUCGAGAAGGCUUGCAGGGUGCAAUGGUGAGCACACAUGAUUGUGAACCCACCAACCCAGGCCCGAGGACUCACCUCACUUAAUUAAAAAAAAUCAGCAGGGACUUCUUUUCCCUUGGUCUCUUUCAUAUUGAAUAACCAGGAUUCUAGUUGCACAAUAUACAUAAUAACAAUCUUAUACGGUUUGAUGUUCUAGAUGAAUUUUUCUUGAACACUGAGAAGGCACCAAAACUUGUCGACCAAAACCAAAAUAGAACAGAACAAAACAGCAAAACCUGUGCUAAACAAUCUAGAUAACUUAUGUUCGUGGAAUCUAAGAAAAAAAAUCUAUAUUAGGUGGGUAUUAGUACACCCUAACUCAUAUUGGCGAUUUAUGGUACUUGCAGAAGCAUACUAGCAAAACAAAAGAGGCGAUUUCUUAGUUCUUACCGCAGGAGGUUUGAACGGAUAAUCAAGUGGAAAAACAAUAUCAAGAAAAAAUAUCCCUCCUUCAUAUGGAGAUCCUGCAAUAAAAGUACAGUGUUAAACCAAAUUACGGGUCCCUUACAUUACUAAUUCUUUACCACACGAAUGUCAUCGAGGGGGGGAACCACAACAAUUUUAACAAGUUAAAUUGAAGUUCCCAAGGGCUUUUCCUGUGUUGAACUGGCUACUAGCCAGGAGAAAGUGCAGAGGAUAUAAAUCUUAUACCUUGGGGUCCGAUGAUGGUGGAGAGCCAGUGGUAGAGGUUAUCGCCCUUGGGACCAGCGGAGCAGUCGGAAGCGUUGAGGUCCAGCAACUCCUUCUGUAUCCGCUUCCCAGACGACGAUACCGACGUCCCUCCACUCGACCCCCACGGCCUCAUGCUGCUCCCGCUGCCGCCUCCUCCGCCAGGGCCCCCGGCACCGGCGCCACCGGCGGCGAAAGGGAAGCGAGAAGUAGGGAAAGAGGAUGACGAGGACAUGCUUGCAACCAGUGGCAGAACAAAGCUGCACAAACUUAACUCUGGAAUUUGAGAACUGCAUCGCAAAUUUAUAAUUCGCAUACCAUAAUCACAGAUCACAAGCUCGCAGAAUUCCGAAACAAACCUUAAAUCGCCCAGCGCCUGGUGAUGUUCGGUCGCCACUCUAUGCUUGGAUGUCAGCUGCCGGGUCGUCCCUCCUGCCGCGCCCGCGCGGCUGAAGCCCGCCCCGGUGCCCCCCCUGCCGCUGGCCCGCUGCUCGCUUGAGCUUGACGCCGCGAUGCGCCAGUGAAGAAUGGGUCAAUGGGGUUUAUUUUUUUUUGCAGCUUGGCGAAGGUUUUUGUUUUCUUCUAAGCGAGUCUUCAGCCUGGCGUGGCCCAGCCGCCCAGGCAGGCACCGAAGGAAUGCAUGUUGGGUUGAAUUUUAAAAUAAAAUAAAAACUAAAGGCUAGAUGGGAUGGUGCAGCUGCACUUUUUUUUGACGUCCGAGUGCACGCACGCGCGUGUAGUCCGAUCAAGCUGGCUCGAUCGAACCCGUACCUUUUUGCUAACCAAACCGAAUCUUGAAGAUGAGAUUCAUCUUAAAGGGGGUUAGGUCUGUAUCCCAAAAUUUAAAUUCUUACAUGUGCAUUGCAUCCAUGAGCAUCAUGCCACAUUUGCAUAUUUGAAUUCAAAUUUAAAUCUCAAAAGGCUUUAAAAGAUUUUAUUUCAAUUUAAACCCUAGAGUUUUCACCCUUUUGAACUUUGGAUCUUUAAACCAAUAUGGUUUAUCUAUAAAUAGGGUUUUAUUGCAUAAAUAGACAAUCUCAUAAUUUUUGGAUAAUUAUUUGGAGUUGAAAAACUAUUUUAUCUAAAUAGUUAUAUAGCCCUAAAGGCAUUUAUAGGGCAAAUGUAUUUUUAUAUAUUUUAUUUUGAGGGGAAAUUACUCCCAAAAGUUGAAUUAUGAUAAAACAUGAUUUUACAAAUUUUCUGAAAUUUAUUUGGAUCAAUUUGGAGUUCAAAAUCAAAAGUUAUCAAAGAAAUCAGAAAAAGAAAAAGAGAAAAAGCUAAAAGGAAAAAAAAAGGGGAAACGGACCGACCCGGCCGAAUUGGGCCGAACCGGCCCAACUCCUCGCGCGCGCCCGCAGCCCAGCCCAGCGCCGCGCCCGCGCCCUCGCUGACGAGCGGGGUCCACCUGUCAGGGUCUCCUCCCCCGACAGGCAAGCCCCGAAAUCACGCCGCCCGCGCCACCGCUUGCCGUGUUUGCCGCCGCGCGCCGUCACCUCCGCGAUUGCCUCCUCCGUCCAUAAUUCGCAGCACCGACCGCGUCCCUAUAAAGGCCACGGCCUCCUCUCCUCUUUCCCCCUAAACCCCCCACGCGCACACGCCCCCAGGCUGCCGGAAUUUACCGCCGGAGAACUCCACUGCCGCCGCCGUCCAUCGCUUCGUGACGACACGCCGGUGAGCCCUCGCGCGCGAGUCUUCAAAUUUCUGGAGCUCCUCGACCAUGCGCACAUUUUGACGCACACGAUUUUGUUUAUGGUGCCCCCUAGCCGCCGGAGCCACGCCGCCCGACCUUGCUGGAGACGCACCCGCACCGCCGGAGCCUUCCCGUCGUCCUAGGCGUCGAUGUGAACCUCCUCUCGCCGUUCCAAGCACGUCACGGCCUCCGCCUCGUCGCGCCGCUCACGUCGCCGGUAUUCCCCGAGCCCGAAGGCCACCCGAACGCCGCCCGCCACUGCCCGCCCGUGCCACGCCGCUGCCGGACUCCGUCGCCGGAACCAUAGGGUUCCCUGAGGUGAGCCCGAACGAUCUCAGCCGUCCGAUCCAGAUGCAACGGCCAAGAUUAGAUCGAGUUUGAUUCAUUUAAACGAACCGGUAUCGUCCAAUGAGAAGCUGACACGUGGCAACACAUUAUAAAAAUGAAAAUGUAAAUCCCGGAAUUAAUUUAAAUGGCACUUUUACAGAAAAUCCCUUGUAACUUCAAAUGCUUAUAACUUUUAAACCCUUUGGCCAAAUUUGACAAACUUUAUCUUUUUGGAAAGCUCUCAACCUGUAGAUUCUUUUGGCACUGUUUAAAUUUAAAUUUGAAUAUUUGAAUCACAGCCAAUUUACAGAUUAGGGUUUAAUGCCAUUUAAUUCAUAACUAAUUAUUUAGAAAUUCUUUUUAAUUGAAACCAGUGCCCAAUUUUUUUUUUAUUAUCCUCUGUCCAUUGGGACAGAUAAAUAAUUUUUUUUUGAAUUAAAUCUUUUGGCUGAUGCCAAUAAAACCUUGAUUUAGGGUUUAAUCCCUAGUCUUUGCAUUUUGUUUUUAAACCUAAUGCAUUAAUUUUAAUUACUAAUGCUUAGGAUCAGUUGAUCACCCAAAUAAAAUAAACCAAUUGAUGUCACAUGUUGCAUCGCAUCAUAGCAUACUUUCUUUUGUCGUGAUGUGAAUUGUUUGUUUAUGUUUGUGUAUGUUUGUUUGCUCGUAUAGUUUUCUCGGAGAACGAUCAGUGUGAUUGUGAAGAGUGCUUGAACACCAACUGCUAUCAAGGCAAGUUCACUUUGACCAUCAUCCUAUUAUUUUAUUAUGCACUAGAUUUUAUUAGUUGCAUUGUUAGGAUUAUUAUUGUAUCUAUGCUAGCUAUGAUUUCUCCUAGUAGUAUAGGAUACCCUUGCCAUGUCCUCACCACCAAUUGCUAACGUAGUAGUAAACGCUAUGCAAUGUUAGUAUAUGAGGGUUGGUAUUAUUACAAUGUGAUGUUAUUGUAUUAAAGUAUGGUUUUCCUAGUGUAUGGCAAAACAAGUAAUUCAAUGAACCGUCCUGGGUGGGCUGCUUUGAGUAUUUGAGAUGUAUGCGACGUCAGGUCCAUUUCUAUGGGUCCAUUUCUAUGAGUCGUCUCGCCAUUUCUAUGGAAGCGCUUGCGUCGCAAAUGUGGGAUGCCACCCGGGGUGACCAGAGACUGGACUAGUUUCCUUUUUAGUAGCUUCCAGUACAACCACAUGGUAUUAUGGGCUCUGCCAGGAUGGAUGUAAGAAAUAUGAACCCGGAUCCGAGGUGAUAUCGGUAUGUGGCAGUGUAGGUGGGGACGCGUCCCUCGGGUGGUUUGGGGGAUUAUGUUCUGAAAAUUUCUGUAGUCGAUGCCAUUGCUACUCUACCCUGAGGAUAGCAAGGGAUUAACACGUCGAUUUCUUGUGGGGAAUGUGUACAACCUCUCGAGAGUGUCAAACUAAGUACUUAGCUGUGUGUCUGGUUACGGACAAUUAUGAGCAACUAGAUCUGGGGGCUGUAAGGAAGGUCUCACUCAUUCCAAUUUCAUAAUAAAACGAAUGGAUUGAACUGGGUAGGAGCAUUGAUGUGUCUACUCAAUGUAAAUAGGUUAAUAGGAGCGUGGGUGUUUCUACCCCGUGUCCAAUAGAAUUCAAAACUAUUUGUUUAAAAAUGAUAGGAUGAAGCAUUGAUGCUUUUAUGCAAUUAGCCAAAUCCCACCUUGCCAUAUACUGCAUGUACAUUGUUAGGUCUGCUAUAACUUCCAGGUGAACUUGCCAAUACAUCCAAAUGUAUUGAUCACGUAGUAGUUGCAAUUAAUAAUGCAGGUGAAUCUGACGAAGAGUGAGGUUCGUCGAUGUUCUUUGGGUCAUGUGCUUACGUUCCAACAUGCUUUCUCCUUUGGAAGUAGUUGUGGCCCAUUUGCUCCACCUUUUUCCGCUGCCAUUUGUGAAACAAUAUUUUGAUAUCUUGAAACCCUAUUUGUUAUGCUGACCCAAGGGGUUAUGCAAGGUUGUAAGUACUAUUAAAUUCUGGAUGAUGCGAUGUAAUAAAGUACUUUGACCUUUGUUUCUGGAUAUUUCAUCAUGAAACUGUGUGUGCUAGUGAGUCGAUCCAGAGACUAGCACGGUAAGCACAGAGAUCGAACCCUAUAUGGGGGCGGUCGCUUCAAUCACUUCUAAGACACAAGAUUAAGUCAAGCUCAUACAAAGAGCGAAAAUACCAAGUUAUUACAACUCACGGACACAUGUCCACAAUCAUCAUUACACCAGCGGAAGCAAAUUAGGCCCGAGUACGGACAAGUUACAAUUAUUGCCUAAGAGGCUGAAACUGAAAGGAGAGCCCGCCACAAGUUCACAGAACCCUGCUCUGGAAUCUGCUGGCUAAACGUCGAAGCUGUCGUCGUCGAACUCCACAAAGUAACCACUCACCUGCUCCUCUGGGAACUCUGGAGAAAACAACGUUGCAAAGCAACUGAGUACAAAGUACUCGCAAGACUUACGGGAGAUCUAAACUAGAUAUGCAACAAGUCUCAAAAGGAUGGAUAAUAUGGUGGGGUUAUGCAACAUCAAUAUAUCUGGAGAGACACACUAAUGACAUCGUCUAAUUAGAGGAUAAGAAGCGUCUACUAAGUGAGGUGAUCUUCUAAUAACUAACACCAACCAAACACAACCUCUUAUCAACCCCUUGUGAGGAAAUGAUCCAAAGGCACUCAGACUUAAGCAAUUUUAAGCAUAUCCAUGAUUAAGGCUAAUUAGUACUCAAGUUUAUGAGAUUAAGUUGAUUAAAAUGAUUAAGUUCUCUAUGAUCAAGUAAUGACCAACCAAGUCGUCCAUAACCGCGGACACGGCUUUCUGAAAGAUUUAUCCCUGCAGGGUGUGCCAAUUUACCCGUACACGUUCGUCCAACCCUUGUUGCCACUCGAGUAGGAACACACAAAGACGUGUGUCGGCAGGAUUGGGCGACACGACGUUUCCAACCCCCACAACUAUCCAGGGGACCACCCAACUGAGUCUAAUCUGAAACGAGAGCCCGGCCGAAGCGUCGUACAGACUCAAGAGUUGCGAGGACAGUUGGUAAUGGUUCAGGGCCCGCAGGAUGACCACUCCAGACUAGUGCCGCAAUCCUAUAUGUAUGCAAAGUACCGACAAAUCUCGAAACAUAACACCAGUGUAUAUGCGAUAUGCCAAAUGAAACGCCCGAACUAUGUGGCCCCAUGGAAGAGCUAUGAAACAACUACAAUCAUGUUUGUUUUAUUAUACCAACCACCACUAUAAUCAUGUUGCCAUGUUAUUCACAUAUUAUUAUGCAUCCAAUUUUAUUUUGCCAUUCCACCAUUUAUAUUAAUUCUUAUCACUUUAUUCCCACUCUACUAUCUUUUAUUUUAUUCUACAUACAUCCGACCAUUUGAUCAUGUCACUGAUACUCCCUUACCUUUUCUUCUUGUUUUCAAUAGAUGGGAAGCCCAACACCUUUUGGCAACAUACUGCCGUUUAUCAGAGUCUACAACCCCUCCACCGACGACGGCCAGUUGUUCAGUGCCCCUUUGGCGGCACUGUGUGCGUUCCUCGACCUGCCACCUCCUAGGUUCAGAGGCCGAGUCGAGACCGCCGCACCCGAGGGAUGGCAGCCACGGUGGAGAUGGAGGCGAAGAUCCGCGGGCGUGAGAUCGCGCCAGCAACGCCGGAUAUCACCUUCAUCAGCCGCUACCCCACCUUCGAGCAUGGCCUUCAGUUCGCCAUGCAGUGCGCCUUCACGCAGGUGUGCCGGGACUAUCGACACGAGUUUUCCGAGGAUUCCCCCUUCCUCCUCUUUGGAAGGCGGAACCAUGCAUGCUCAGCAGUGGCAACAACCAAUGACGAGGAUGCGACCCCGGUGACGACUCACUUCGAGAACAUGGAGGUAAACACAGUGGACUUAGAGUCUUGCCUCGAGCACGAGAUGACCAGGGCCGACCUAGCCGAGGAGCAGGUCGGUAAUCUGCUGGGAGAGAAGACCCAGUGGCUGGAGGACAAGACCGUGUUGGAAAACACCAUCCUCAACAUGGGGGACGCCAUUGACCAGCUGAAGUAUGAGAGAGACCAGGCUCGCUACUACUGCGAGCAGUUACAGGCGUUCAUCGCAGCCGCAGCCGCACCAGCUACAGCACCGGCGCCUGUUCAGACCCCACCUCCGCCACAGGAUCAGGAGAUGGAGCCUCAGGAGGAGGUACCGACUGAGGAGGAGGAGCCCAGGAGGUUCAUGAGAUGGACACCCUUGCCUCCAACACCCGCUCCAAGAGGAAGGCGAACGGGACCGCACCAUCAGCCACACUUCCUUAGACUUGUUGAUGCCUGCCAGACUUUAUCAUUUCUUUUCGUUAUCAGUAUUGCGAGCUAGUCAUUGACCAUACAAGUUAUGUGUAUGGCAAUGUAGAUCGAUUGCUUUUUCCCGUACUCUUUUCUUAUGGGCAGUACCGCAUCAUGAACAAGUGUGAUUUGCUAUCUUUUUCAAAACUUUUUAUGAAUGAUUGAGAUAUGCUUGUGUUAAAUAUCGGUUUUGUGGGGCGCUAGACAUCCUAUCUGUUUCCUCAUCUAUGCUAGCCUAAACAGAUGCCUUCGAGACGCCAAAAUCCCGCCAACAACAUUGAGGCCGGCAAUGCCGAAGCAGACGGGAAUGCUGCCACCAUGCAGCAACUGUUGGCAGCACAGACCCAAUUUCUGCAACUGAUUACCUAGCAAAUGGCCAACAAUAAUCAGCAGAACAACAACAACAACCAUCAAGUGGAUAUGCUGACCAGAUUUCUGUGAUUGCGCCCGCCUACCUUUUUGAGUUCCACUGAGCCCAUUAUGGCUGACGAUUGGCUUCGUUCAGUCAACAAGAAUUUGGUCACCAUCAACUGCAACGACGAGGAAAAAGUGAGCUUUGCAGCUCACUUACCUGAAGGACCUGCACCAUCUUGGUGGGAGAAUUUCCAGAUCACCACCCCCAUUGAACAUGUCACCUGGGAUAUGUUCCAGGAAGCCUUCCGCACCGCCCACAUCUCUGCGGGGGUGCUCAGUUUGAAAAAGAAGGAGUUUCACAGACUGCGAUAGGGGAGCCGCCCUAUGUCGGAAUAUUUAGAAGUUUUCAACCUGCUGUCCCGCUACGCGUCGGACGAUGUGAACACCGAUGCGAAGCGCAGAGAGAAAUUCUUGGACGGUCUGAACGACGAGCUGUCGGUUCAACUCGCUGUUGCUUAUACCCCCACCUACCAGUCCUUGAUUGACAAGGCCAUCAUUCUAGAGAGCAAGCUCACUCAAAUGGAGAGCCGCAAGAAGAGACUUCACCAAGGAGGCUCUCAAACCGGCCUGCACGAGAAGCAGCGAACCUCCUAUGAUGGAAGUGGCAGUUCCUCCUUGAGCAGGAACGGGAACCAUAACAGCCACCGCAGGGAAGCCAAGGACACCACCACCAGGGUGGCAAUGGGAACUGGCACCAUCCGCAGCACCAGCAUCAGCAUCAGUUCGCUCGCCCAAGGCCCACCAAUGGUAAUGGAAAUGGCAGGAACAACGGCAAUGGCCAGAGCAACAAUGGUCAGAACCACAAUGCCAACAAGGACCUGAGCAAAGUGGAGUGCUUCAAGUGUCACAAGCUGGGACACUAAGCCACCAACUGCCCGGAGAACCAAGAUGGCACUGGGAACAAGCCCAAUCCGUUCCAGAAGGGCCACGUGAAUCACGUGGACGUGGAAGAGAUCACCGAGGAACCAGAUAUCAUACUUGCCACCUUCCACAUUAAUGCUUUUGAAGUACUAGUUCUAUUCGACACCGGUGCAUCACAUUCAUUCAUUUCAAGAGUGUUGGUAGAAAGAGGCAAAUUACCCUCUGAGACCAUGGGUAGACCCAUGAAAGUGAACUCACCAGGUGGAACAAUGCUAGCAACCCGACACUGCCACCAGCUACUCCUAAGUAUUGGGAGACACACUUUUCCCUCUGAUCUCAUAGUUAUAGAUUCCCGAGGACUAGACCUAAUCCUGGGAAUGGACUGGUUGACCCUGUAUGAAGGACUAGUAGACUGUGCCCAGAGGACUGUCACACUCACUACCCCUGACCAAAGACGCAUACGGUACAAGUCAACCCAUGAGCUUAAGAAACCCAAGGUUAAUGCUCUGAAGGGGGUUAGCAUGGACGAAGUACCAAUAGUGAAAGAAUACCCGGACGUAUACCAGAGGAAUUACCAGGCAUGCCACCAGACCGUGACGUCGAAUUCCUCAUCGAGUUAAUGCCAGGAAGUGGACCCAUAGCCAAGAGACCAUAUAAGAUGGCUGUGGAUGAGUUAAAGGAAUUGAAGAAACAGCUUGCCGAGCAACUGUCAAAAGGUUUCAUCCGCCCCAGUUCAUCACCAUGGGGAGCCCCUGUCCUGUUUGUGGAAAAGAAGGACAAGAGCCAACGAAUGUGCAUCGACUAUCGUUCACUAAAUGAAGUGACGAUAAAGAAUAAAUAUCCUCUGCCCAUAAUUAAUGUUCUUUUCGUUCAAUUGAAGGGAGCUCAAGUGUUUUCAAAGUUCGAUCUGCGAUCAGGGUAUUUCUAGCUGAAAAUCCGAGAGAUGGAUAUACCCAAGACGACAUUCACCACUAGGUAUGGUCUAUAUGAGUAUACCGUGAUGCCAUUUGGAUUGACCAAUGCACCUGCAUACUUCAUGAACAUGAUGAACAAGGUGUUCAUGGAAUUCUUGGACAAGUUUGUCGUGGUAUUCAUAGAUGACAUCUUGGUAUAUUCCAAGAGCAAAGAAGAGCAUGGGCAGCAUCUGCGCAUGAUUUUGGAGAAGCUGAGAGCGCACAAGCUGUACGCCAAAUUCAGCAAGUGCGACUUUUGGUUGUCAGAAGUUAGCUUUCUUGGACACAUAGUGUCAGGAGCCGGAGUAGCUGUUGACGCAGCUAAGGUUGCAGCAGUUACAGAAUGGGAGGCACCUAAUAAGGUUGGAGAAGUCCGCAGUUUCCUUGGGCUUGCUGGUUACUACCGGAGGUUCAUUGGGAAUUUCUCCAGAAUAGCAAAACCCAUGACUGAGCUCUUAAAGAAAGAGAAGAAGUUUGCCUGGAAUGAGAAAUGUGAAGAGAGUUUCCAGGAGUUGAAGAAGAGACUAGUGUCUGCGCCCAUCCUUGUUUUACCUGACCUGCAAGAGGAUUUUCAAGUAUACUGUGACGCCUCACGUCAAGGAUUGGGAGGAGUGUUAAUGCAUGCAGAAAGAGUUGUAGUAUACGCUUCGCGACAACUAAAGAGCCAUGAAUGCAACUAUCCCACGCAUGAUUUGGAAUUAGCAUCGGUAGUGCACGCCCUGAAGACUUGGAGACACUACCUGAUGGGAAAACAUUGUGAACUAUUUACUGAUCACAAGAGCCUGAAGUACAAUUUCACCCAAAAGGAGUUGAAUCUGAGGCAGAGAAGAUGGCUAGAGUUGAUAAAAAGAUUAUAAUCUGAACUUGCAAUACCAUCCAGGCAAGGCUAAUGUAGUAGCCGACGCUUUAAGCCGCAAGGGCUAUUUGAAUGGACUGAUAGCUGGGGAUUUACCGCCAGAAUUGUGCGAACAGUUCAAAGACCUUAGACUAGAAAUAGUACCGGAAGGUUAUUUAGCUACUUUGAAAGUACAGCCCACGUUGUUGGAUAAGAUUAGAGAAGCACAGAAGGGCGAUUCGGAAAUAAAGGAAAUAAAAGAGAAUAUGAUUAGCGGAAAGGCCAAAGAUUUCCGAGAAGACGACCAGGGUACCAUAUGGUUCGGUAAACGCAUUUGCGUACCGCAGGAUUCGGAAAUCAAAAAGCUGAUUUUGCAAGAAGCCCACGACUCACCGUACUCAAUCCACCUUGGGAACACGAAAAUGUAUAUGGACCUAAAGGAGACAUUUUGGUGGUCCGGAUUGAAGCGAGACAUCGCAGAAUUCAUUGCCUUGUGCAAUGUGUGCAGCAGAGUUAAGGCAGAACACCAGAAACCGACAGGAUUGCUAAGACCACUGCCAAUACCAGACUGGAAAAGGUAUAAAGUAGGCAUGGACUUUAUCACCGGUUUACCAACGACCAAAUCAGGGUAUGAUUCCAUUUGGGUAGUGGUUGACCAUUUGACCAAGGUUGCCCACUUCAUACCCGUGAAGACCACAUACACCAGCGCACAGUUAGCAAAACGCUACAUAUCCAGAAUCGUGUGUUUACACAGAGUACCCAAGGAAAUAGUUUCAGACAGAGGUACCCAAUUUACCUCAAGAUUUUUGGGACAACUACAUGACUCUCUAGGAACGAGACUAGAGUUCAGCACAGUUUUUCAUCCGUAGACGGAUGGACAGACCGAGCGUGUGAAUUAGAUCCUUGAGGAUAUGUUGAGAGCCUACGCUCUAGAUUAUGGAUCCAGUUGGGAUGACAACCUGCCUUAUGUAGAAUUCUCGUACAACAAUAGUUUCCAAGCCAGCAUUGGGAUGUCCCCGUUUGAAGCUUUGUAUGGAAGGAAGUGCAGAACACCAUUGUUAUGGGAUGGUGUAGGAGACCGUAGCCUAUUUGGCUCGGAUAUGAUAAAAGAUGCCGAGGAAAAGGUUAGACUUAUCCGAGACAGGCUGAAGGUAGCUCAGUCAAGACAAAAGAGCUAUGCAGACUCCAAACGUAGGGAGGUUACCUACGAGGCUGAAGAUAGAGCGUAUCACAGAGUUUCACCGAUACGCGGAGUUAGGAGAUUUGGAAUCAAGGGAAAGCUAGCACCCCGUUUCAUUGGACCUUUCAAGAUCUCGUCACGCCAAGGAGAAGUAGCCUACAAAUUGGAUUUACCGGAAGCAGUGUCCAAUGUCCACAAUGUCUUCCAUGUGUCGCAACUGAAGAAGUGUCACCCCGAGAUGGCCGACACACCACUAAGGGACACGAUACCGUUUCCAACUGCAGAGUGAUCUCACCUAUGAGGAGAAAUCGAUCAGAAUCUUGGAUACAGCAGAGAGACAUACCCGAUCCAAGACCAUCAAGUUUUGCAAGGUUCAGUGGGACCAUCACACUGAAGAGGAAGCUACUUGGGAACGCGAAGAUGAUCUUCGAGAAGACCACCCGCACCUCUUUGCUAGCCAAACCGAAUCUCGAGGACGAGAUUCAUCUUAAGGGGGGUUAGGUCUGUAACAUCCCAAAAUUUCAAAUUCUUACAUGUGCAUUGCAUCCAUGAGCAUCAUGCCACAUUUGCAUAUUUGAAUUCAAAUUUGAAUCUCAAAAGGCUUUAAAAGAUUUUAUUUCAAUUUAAACCCUAGGGUUUUCACCCUUUUGAACUUUGGAUCUUUAAACCAAUAGGGUUUAUCUAUAAAUGGGGUUUAUUGCAUAAAUAGGCAAUCCCAUAAUUUUUGGAUAAUUAUUUGGAGUUGAAAAACUAUUUUAUUUAAAUAGUUAUAUAGCCCUAAAGGCAUUUAUAGGAAAAAUGUAUUUUUAUAUAUUUUAUUUUGAGGGGAGAUUACUCCCAAAAGUUGAAUCAUGAUAAAACAUGAUUUUACAAAUUUUCUGGAAUUUAUUUGGAUCAAUUUGGAGUUCAAAAUCAAAAGUUAUCAAAGAAAUCAGAAAAAGAAAAGAGAAAAAGGCUAAAAGGAAAAAAAAAAGGGAAAACGGACCGGCCGGCCGAAUUGGGCCAAACCGGCCAAACUCCUCGCACGCGCCCGCAGCCCAGCCCAGCGCCGCGCCCGCGUCCUCGCUGAUGAGCGGGGCCCGCCUGUUAGGGUCUCCUCCCUCGACAGGCAAGCCCUGAAAUCACGCCGCCCGCGCUGCCGCAUGCCAUGUUUGCCGCUGCGCGCCGUCACCUCCGCGGUUGCCUCCUUCGUCCAUAAUUCGCAGCAUCGACCGCGUCCCUAUAAAGGCUACGGCCUCCUCUCCUCUUUCCAUAAUAGAGACUAGACAAGUUCAUACGUUUGAAUUUCAAAUCUGAAAUUCUAAACGUCAAAAUGGAAAACUAGCAGUACAGUUAAAUUCCUUACAUUUUUCUGAUUCAAAAACAUAUAUGGUUUGCCCAAUUUGGAUUUAGCAUGCAUUUACUAUGAAUUAAACAAGAUUUAAGCAUUUCUGGAAUUUAAACAAAACCCAAAAAGAAAUUCUAAACAAACCCGGCGCAUGGACUCAGUCCACCGGGCGCAGCGGUGCACCAGGCAAAUGAUAGGUGGGUCCAUGGGGCCCACUUGUCAGUGGCCGGUUAAAGCACACAAAUUUGGGGGUUUUAUUCCACACGGGUGAGGGAUCGAACCCGCGACGCGCGGAUCUGGGCGAACGGACGGAGCAAGCGGCCAGUUGGGCUGCGAAUACGGAUCUCAACAGAUCAAGGGCGUAAACCCUUUUAACCCGAUGAAAGCUGGCAUCUUGCGGGCGCGCGCGGCGGCCACGACCAUUGCUCGCCGGCGGUGACCACACGGCGCGGCGAAGGACUAGCUAACGACGGAAAGAGCGGCGGCGCGCGGAGAAGAUCUAGGUGGCACAAAUGCCAUGACAUGGUCCUUAGCGAGAUCGACGGCACGGCGACGAGCAGGAGCUCGCCGGCGGCAUGCCGAAGCGCGUGCGUGCAGCUACAAGGCUACGGGGCACCAAAACGUGUGCGGAAAGAAGCGGGAGAGAGAGGAGCUCACCGCGAAGCCUUGGGCGGAAACUGACGAGGAAAGAAGUCGGUGGCUCGCUGGAAUUGAAGAAGUGCUCGUCGACGGCCGAAGGGGAAGAAGAUGAAGUAGUCGUGCCCGUAGUCGAUCUCCGGCCAAUUACUCGUGUGUAGACGAAGUAGACGCGCUCGCGGUUCUUUUGACCCGGUCGGCUGGGCUUGAGGACGACGGAGACGGUGGCUCGACGCGGCGGCGCCCACGGCUCGGAAAGGAAGGCGACGGCGGCGCGUAGAAAAAGGGAGAGGAGGACCCGUCUAGGGUUUUCCUGGCGCUAGGGCUGCGAGGAGGGGCGCGACGCGGCUUAAGUAGGGGCAUGGAGCUCUCCCUGUCGCUGUGGACGUCAACGUGGCGCGGGGGGGGGGGGGGGGGCUCACCGGCCAGGAACACGAAAAGCAGAGGAGGAAGAACCCCUGUGAGACAAGGCGUAAACCGUGAAAAUGCGUCUUCGCGGCUGGAAGGCGCAACGCAGGCGCGCGCGGUGAGGAGAUGGGCCGCUGGGCGCGUCGCUGGGCUGGGGGCGCGACGGGGCUGCUGGGCCGAAAGGUAAGAGGUUAUCUUUUUUUCUUGUUUUUUUCUUUUUCCUUUUCCCUUUUUCUGUUUUCUGUUUUGCAAAUAGUUUUUGGAUUCAAAUUUCAAAUACCAUUUUGAAAAGCUGAGAAAUAGUAGAGUUCAAAUAUGGUACUACUAUUUGGGAAAUAUUCAAAUGGGGUAAAGGUGUAAAUCAAAACCCAUUUGAAUGACAUUUGUAAAAUAUAGGAAAAGGAAUUUAAACUCAAAGAAGGAAGGAUGAUUCAUAUUUGAAUCUUCUAGCAAAUUCAAACAACAAGAUUUCAAACCACAAGUUAAAAUGUAAUUUUCCAAUUUAUGUGAAGCAAAGAAGAGAUGACAUGGCAUGGAUGCAAAUGUAAAAUGUCAUGCAACAAGAAUUAAAUUACAAACAGGUCCAACAAGGGCUUAAAUGUAAGAUGUUGCUCUUGGACUGUUACACGCUUCCCCUUCCUCCAUUCUCCCUCCUGCUGCUCCUCCUCCCGACACCCCCGUCUCCCUCUGCUGCUCUUCCUCCCGGCCCCCCUUUGCCCCCACCACCCACCUGCUCCCUACCUCCACUUCUGUCGGGGGGAUGACCCUGGGUAGGGUCAUGGCGACACAACUCUAGCCGAGAAGACGGAGGCAAAGCCGGCAUGGUUUUGUAUGCCGGCAUCGUAGAGUCAAACUAAUACUAAGCCGGCAUUCUGGAGGUAUGCCGGCAUGACUCCAUUGUCAUAUGAGUUUGCAGGAUAAGGACGAGCAUCUUGAUCUCGGCGGUGGCCGAGAUCUCUCAACGGUCUUAUCCUGACCACACGGUGCAGAGUAAAGCAGCGACUGCAGAGAGGAAGCACCGAAAGAGAAUCUCUGACGGAAGCCGGCAGAGGAUAGCGGUACUUUCUGCGGGGUGCCAGGGAAAAGUAAAGUUGUCUUGUCCCCUAUGGUGCUACCGGGAGGGAACCAAGCCGCGUGCCCGGCGGGGCCCCAGGAACAUGACGUUAGACUCGGCCCACAUGUCAGUGUGACAUGGGCGGCCUAUAAAUAGAACCUUACCCCUCUGUAGAAAGGGGCGGUGCACUUAGACAUCUAGGGUUUUUCACCUUCUUCUUCUUCUUCUUCCUAAAGAAUACAGCUCAAGGACAUUGUAGAGCUUGUCUAUCCCAACUAAUACAAGAAAGGAGGAAUAGGAGUCUUACCUUGGCAAGAGGGCUCCGAACCUGGGUAGAUCUGUGUGUGCUUGUGUGAUUUGUGCGUGUUUGCCUUCAUGUCCUCCCUCCUCCGGAUCCUCCAUCGUCCAUCGGCCCCAAGUUAAGCCAUCAUAUGGCAUCUGCCGUGACACCACCACGCUAGUUGGCACCCACCGUGGGGCCAGCAGCGGCGCUGGUUGGAGUUUUCAUCCGGACGGGAAGCUUCCUCGUCACCGGAGAGCGCGUGGUCUCCGGGUUGCUCUAGAGAUUCGGCUCUCUGGGCCUACUCGACAACAACGCGGGCUGCUUCAAGGGCACACCGCUUCCCUGUGCAGGCUGCUUCAUCAACUUCGGCAUGCACGAGGUUUAUGUUGCUACUGACAGUCCCUGCAGGUACCCAGAGCAGGUGGUGAUGGCCGAAGAUCCCCCCGCCAUCUGCACGCCGACUGCCCCUCUAACCGUGUGGAGGUCAUGGUGACGGCUCAUGGCGUUGAUGCGGGAAGGGACGCUGCAGGAAGUGGCGCGGUCCCUACCAAGUCCGGCAGAACGGUGAAGCUCCCCUUGGAGAAGCCGGAGAACAUCACCGCUCAGGCCGGCACGUCGGCCCUGCCACCAAAGCCAACUCAGAUCCAGGCCUCCAUCGAACGGCUGACCGCGCCGGUAGCAUCGAACGCUAACCCGACCCAGCUGCAGGCGGAGUUGGAGUUGGAGAGACAGAAGCUGCUGAAGGAAGCAGUCGACGUCGCUCACGCUCGACAACAGCUCGACAUCUCGCUCCGUGAGUAUAACAGCUCAUGGCAUUAGUUCUACUGCAUUUACUAACCCUAGUAGAGUUGGGGAAGUGCAUAACCAUGGCAAGAACUUGAAUGCCGAGAUGACAAGAGACGGCAGGGGUGCGCCAGCAGUGUCGGCAAGUUUUGCCUCAGCACUGAAGCCGAAAUACAAUACCCUUGUCAAAUUCUCAGGGCUGCCGAGGCUGUGGUUGAGGAGUUGCCGAAUCUCACGGGAGAGGCACUUCGGCAGCAACGGCUGCGUGCGAAAGAGCUGCUCCAAACAACUAACGAGCGGAACGGGCGGAUAUGAGAAUGCACGACAAACCCGGUGCAUCUCAGGUUAUUCACUCGGCUACAGGUUCUAGUGGCCGCGUUGACAAGCAAGCGUCCUCACCUGGUGACAAACGGGACAAAAGCGUUAACUCUGGCCGGGAUAAACAACUGGAGCGUUAUGACCCGGCUCUGGCCGAGAAGCAGAUGGUCAGGAGGGUUGAUGACAGCCAAAGUGGUCUGCGUCCUGGCAACAAUCGCCGACACUAACAGGAGCGUUACUCGUUUAAGGACACCGACCUUGGGGUCCGGCACCCAAUACUGCUACAGGACAACAGGGUGUCGGGCGCAACCCUCCAUAUCAAGGUGAAGAUCGCCGGUAUGACCGUUACGAUGACGGAUACUCGGCUAUGGGUGACGAGGGUUAUAUCAGGCGAGAGCGUGAUAAUCUCGGCCCGCUCGGAGCCCGAGUUAGGAGCAGACAAGUAUCACCUCUGGAUGCCUGACAUCGGCUUGACAGAAUUUAUCUGUCCAAGCUUCUGGAGGAGCAAGGCCCUUCGGGACUGCGUUGCUUUGCGCAUCGGAUCAUGAGGGAGAGACCAGCCUCGUGUUUCCAGCUGCCUAGGGGUACGAGAACGUAUGACGGCAGCACUAAGCCGGAAGAUUGGCUGGAAGACUAUGUCACGGCGGUGAGCGUGGCAGGCGGACCCGCAGAUGGCAGUACGUUAUGUACCCCAGAUGCUGGUAGGGCCGACAAGGAUAUGGCUGAACAACUUGCUGGAAGGCAGCAUCAAUUGCCGGAUAGACUUCGAGGAAGCUUUUGUCAGCAAUUUCACUAGCACUCACAAGAGGCCAAAUCAUCCUCAACAAUGGUCCAUGUGCAAGCAAAGAGACAACGAGACCGACCGGGAUUACCUGACAAGGUGAAACAAUCUCCGCAAUUCCUGCGAAGGGAUAAUGGAAUCGCAAGCCAUAGCGUGGUUUGCCCAAGGAUGCCGACACGGCAGCAUGUUGUGGCAGAACCUGCAAAGAGAGAUGCCGGCUACUCUAUCUGAGAUGAUCAGAAUCGUCGACAUGUAUGCGCUUGGCGAUCCAACUCAGCCAUCGCUGAUGCCGGCAGAACCACAAAGGGAGCAGCCGACAUACAAUCCUGCCGGGGCAUUCCGAAAGAACGAUCAUCAAGAUCAUCGCAACAGGAGAAGGGAUGAUAGGCCGGAUUACCGGUAUGGGCCAGCCCAUGUCGCCGCAAUUCAGGAUCAACCUGAUGCCGGCUCCAGCCAACGUCAGAAAACAGGAAAUCAGCAAUGGGUUAAGAAGGGAGAACAAAAGAAGCCAUGGCAGGAUAAGCCGAAGUAUAUGUUCGAGGUGAUGUUGGAUCAGCCUUGUCGUUUUCACACGACUAACCCCAACAAGUCAGCGAACCACACAACGCGGCAAUGCAGUUGGAUGCAGCAGGCCGAGAAGGGCGAAGCAAGUCGGUUACCCCCUUCUCCACCGCUCACAAGCGCAAACGCACAGAUCUAGGGACCCCCUCAGGCAAACAAUGCUGUCAACCAGGUGGAAGUACAAGAAAUCCCGGGGUAUGUCGGGAGAAAUGAGUACAAGGAGCAUCACGAAAGCUACAUGAUCUUCAUCACUGAGCCAACUGACAAGCAAAGUCAGCGCAGGCGAGAGAUGGAGGUCAAUGCUGUUAUGCCGACUGUUCCAAAGUUCAUGUAUUGGUCGGAGCAGGAGAUCAACUGGAACCGGGUGGACCAUCCCAAAGUUAUGCUCAACCCUGGCAGAUAUGCCCUGGUGGUCGAUCCGACACUCAUCGGGCCCGACUUUAACGUCAAGUACACUCGGGUUCUCAUUGAUAAUGGGAGCAGCAUCAAUAUCCUGUACCGGGACACGAUGCUUAAGCUCGGCAUUACUGAUAACAUGCUUGAGCCCAGCUGGACUACCUUUCACGGUCUUGUGCCGGGAGUGUUUUGUGCCCCGGUAGGCAAGAUCCGAGUGGACAUUUUAUUCGGCACCAGGGAGAACUGUCGGACCAAAAACCUAGUGUUCGAGGUGGUGGACCUUAGCAGUCCGUACCAUGCGCUGCUUGGCAGACCGGCACUCGCCAAGUUCAUGGCUACUACUCACAUUGGUUAUCUGAAGAUGAAGAUGCCGGGACCAAAUGGUACCAUAACCAUCACUGGCAACUACAAACGCUCAACGGAUUGUGCAGCGGCCGGAUCUACUCUAGCCGAGUCGCUUGUCAUUGCUGGCGAGAAGAAAAAGUUACAAGAGGCUGUUGCGAUGGCUCAGGCGGCACAAAUUGGCCUGCUGGCUAUGACCAAUCUCCAUGGAAGUGUGACUUUCGAGGCAGCCAAGGAGACAAAGAAGGUAUAUGUUGACAGCGAGUUCCCGGACCGCACCGUCAUCAUUGAUGCCGGCCUGGGAGAAAAAUAGGAAGGCGAGCUCAACAGCUUCCUCCGUGAGAAUCGGGAUAUCUUUGCAUGGUCAAAUCAAGACCUGCCAGGUGUGCCGAGGGAGUUGGCUGAGCAGUCAUUGCAUGUCCGACCAGACGCAAGACCGGUGAAGUAGCCCCUUCGACGCUUCGCCGACGACAGAAGGAAAGUCAUAUCGGAAGAGGUAUCCCGGCUUCUAGCUGCCGGCUUUAUAAUGGAAGUGUUGCAUCCCGACUGGCUGGCAAACCCGUUCAUGGUCGAGAAGAAGAAAGACGACCCAACUGCUGCCAAGGUGUGGCGCAUGUGUAUCGACUACACCAGCCUAAACAAGGCAUGUCCCAAAGAUCCAUUUCCAUUACCUUGGAUCGAUCAAGUGAUUGACUCCACUGCCGGGUGUGAGUUGCUGUCUUUUGUAGACGCGUACUCUGGUUUUUCACCAGAUACCACUGAACCCUAAUGAUCAAAUAAAGACAUCAUUUAUCACCCCGUUCGGGGCUUAUUGCUAUCGCACUAUGCCGUGCAGUUUGAGAAAUGCAGGGGCCACUUAUCAAAGGUGCAUGCAAAAAUGCUUGCACGAUCAACUCGGCAAAAAUGUGCAGGUAUAUGUCAACGAUGUCGUCAUAAAAACCAAGAAAAGCGCCACGCUCCUGGAUGAUAUCCGGGAAACAUUCGCAAAUCUGAGGAGAUUCCGAAUGAAACUGAACCCGGCCAAAUUUACAUUUGGUGUGCAGGCAGGGAAAUUGCUUGGGUUCCCGGUAUCAAGCCGAGGUAUAGAAAUGAACCAUGUGAAAAUUGCCGCUAUAGAAAGAAUGAAACUGCCGAAGUGCCUCAAAGAUGUGCAAAAAUUCACUAGAUGCCUAGCAUCGCUGAGUCAUUUCGUUAGUCGGCUUGGUGAAAAGGCUAUGCCCUUUUACCAGCUUAUGAAGAAAACCGACAAAUUUGUGUGGACGCCACAGGCAGACCUAGCUUUUCAAGAGCUGAAAAAGAUGAUUGCUACAACACCAAUAUUAGCCUCGCCGAUGGAGAAGAAGCCAAUGCUGUUAUACAUAGCAGCAACGAACCGAGUCGUUAGUGCCGUGAUCGUGGUGGAAAGAGAUGAAAACGGCAAAUCGGUGCAAAGGCCGGUAUAUUACUUGAGCGAGGUGUUAUCGUCGGCUAAGCAGAAUUACCCCCAUUACCAGAAAAUGGCGUAUGGCGUGUAUAUGGCGGCAAAGAAGCUGAAACAUUACUUUGAGGCACAUCAGAUCCGAGUUAUAUGUGAGGCGCCCGUCUCGGAAAUCAUGAGUAACAAAGACGCGAACGGCCGGGUCGCAAAAUGGGCUGUCGAGUUGGCACCCUAUGCGCUGCAGUACGACAGACGGGAUGCCAUGAAAUCUCAGGCUCUGGCGGAUUUCUUGGUGGAUUGGGCCGAGAUGGAGUAUGAACCACUGCCCCUGGAAACUAACUACUGAAAAAUGCAUUUUGACGGCUCUAAGAUGAAAAGUGGGCUUGGUGCCGGCAUAGUUCUGACCUCGCCAAAGCGCGACCAACUUAAGUACGUAUUGCAAAUUCACUUCGCAGCAUCAAAUAAUGUAGCCGAGUAUGAAGCACUUGUGCACGGACUGAAAAUGGCAAAAGAAAUUGGAGUCCGCCGAAAUCAGUGCUUUGGUGAUUCCGAUCUGGUGGUCCAGCAGGCUUCCAGAAAUUGGCAUGCAUUGGAUGCCAAUAUGGCGCUAUACCGUUUCCAUGUUCAGAAGAUUACUGGCCACUUCGAAGGGUGCGAGUUUCACCAUAUACCGCGGGCGGAAAAUGAGGCAGCCGACACACUGUCGAAACUCGGCUCAACGCGACAGGCUAUUCAGGCUGGUGUGGCAUGAGAGCAUUUACGCAAACCAUCCAUCAAGCCAUCACCAGAAUCGGAGUCGAUAUUUAUUCCGGCGAACUUAGAAGCCGACGUCACCGCCAUGAACAUUGACAGUGGUAACGGUUCCGAUAACCCGGGGACUGAGCGCCUUAACUCGGCAGAAGCAAUGGCGAUUGAGCCAAUGGAAGUAGACGUACCGGAUGAACCGAUUUUCACUAUUCGACCUCUGCCGGCUUGGGCGCAAUCGAUAAUGUCUUAUCUCAAGGAUGGGAGUCUCCCGGAACAGGAUGUGACGGCAAGACAAAUUCAGAGAAGGGCGAAGGCAUACACCAUCAUCAAUAGAGAGCUAUACAAGAGGAGUGUCACUAAUGUCCUACAACAAUGCGUCGAGCCGGAAGAAGGGCAAGAAAUACUCCGGGAUAUUCAUCAGGGAGAGUGUGGCCAUCAUGUGUCUUCGAGAACGAUAGUGGUCAAAGCUUUCCGACAUGGUUUUUACUGGCCGAGUGCAUUGCAGGAAGCAGAAGACAUAGUCAGGAAGUGUAACGGCUGCCAGAGAUAUGCCAGCAAGAUUCUUAUGCUGGGAUCUGAGCUCAAGACCAUUCCAAUCACUUGGCCGUUCGCUGUUUGGUGUUUGGAUAUGGUGGGACCGUUCAAGCGGGCGCGAGGAGGCAUGACGUAUAUCUUGGUUAUGGUCGACAAGUUCAGCAAAUGGAUUGAGGUAAAGCCGAUACGAAAGUGUGACGGCAAAACCGCAGUGUCAUUUCUGAAGGAUAUCAUCUUGAGAUAUGGGUACCCGCACAGUAUCAUCACGGAUAAUGGAACAAACUUCGUGGAGGCACCUUUCGCGCGAUUCUGUGCGGAGAAGAAGAUCCGGCUAGAUAUCGCUUCUGUAGCACAUCCUCAAUCCAAUGGACAAGUUGAAAGAGCAAACGACAUGGUUUUAGCCAGCAUAAAACUUCGGGUAAUCGAACCAUUGGAACGUACUCCGGGAUGCUAGCUGGAUGAACUCCCGGCUAUGCUAUGGAGUCUCAGGACGACUCCCAAUCGCUCUACAGGCUACACGCCAUUCUUCCUUGUAUACGGGGCGGAAGCUGUCCUACCAGCUGACAUUGAACAUGACUCUCCACGAGUAACCAUGUAUACGGAGCCGAGGUAAAAGAUGCCCGAGAAAAUGAUGUCGACCUGCUCGAAGAAGCACGGGAAUUGGCUCUGUCUCGAUCGGCCAUCUAUAAACAACACCUAAGGUGUUAUCACAGCCGAAAGGUCAACCCGCGAGUAUUCUGGGAAGGGGACCUCAUUCUCCGACUUGUGCAGCGCACAGCCGGCAUGCAUAAACUAUCACCCCCAUGGGAAGGACCCUUCAUUGUGAGCAAAGCGCUUCACAAUGAUUCCUACUAUUUUAUAGAUGCACAAGAUCCCAAGGCAAACAGGAUGGACCGGUCAGGCGAGGAAACAAAGAGGCCAUCGAACGUAGCUUUGCUUCGUCCGUUCUAUACUUGAGAGCUGAGUAUUUAUAUCGUUUUUUCCUUAUGCUGAAUGUUUUAAGACAAUGAAUGUCGUAGCACGGGGCUCAAACAUCGAGGAUGCGCGAGCACCCCCUUUUAGGUUCGGCAGUGGGCGAUGGGGAUCGCCGGCGAGGCCAAUGUUAAGCGUUGGGACACGAUGAACACAAGAUUGUUUUUACCCAGGUUCGGGCCACCCUGAGGUGUAAAACCCUACGUCCUGCUUCUGAGUUUGCUAUUAACCGAUGAGCAAGGGUUUACAAGUUGCCGGGGGGAGUCUCCGGGUGCUCUCUCUCUUCUUAGCUAAGUGCUACUUGCUACUCUUGGCUAGAAUUAGUAGUGAACCGAGAGUCCAUCCAACCCUUUGACCGUUGGUGGUUUUCCUCCUUUUAUACCGAAGGGGAUACCACAGGUGCCUCGGUGCAUAGGUGACAAAUGGCGAACAUGGAGCCAGGGCAGCUCGGCCCUGCCGCGCUGGCUUGCAUGCAGGAUGGGUAGCCCUGCAACUAGGGUCCUACGUGCCUAAAAUUUACACCGGGCCAGUCACUGUAGGCUGACUAGACAGGGAAUCCCCUUUUUGUCGGAGCAUUUAAUGCUUGAGUGUGCUUCACUCCUUGUCCUGACAAACCCUGCGCACGGGGAGCCCACCGAGUGGCCACGUGGCGUUGCUGUCCUGCCCACUCGGUCCCGCUCCUGUAACGGGCGCCUGUGCCCGGUAGCGCCCUUCCCAGCAAGUAACCUUCCUGGGAAGCGCCCAGGCGGGAUUUCUCUUGCUGCCCUCCAGGGCAACCCCGCAGCCCGGCUAGCCCUGCCGUGCUGGUGACUUGCCGGGCAACUCGCGGGGUGCUGCCGGGGGUGCGAUCCUCCCGGGGAGCAAGCGAGGUGUCCCACGCGUCAUGCAGCGGUGGUACCCUGGAAGCCACUGGUGCGACAAUGAAAUUAUCCGCCGGAUUCUCAAAAGAAACUCAGGGACUUCCAUGUCAUUUAAGUGCUGCAUCGCAAUUAUCUUUCGUAUGUCGGCAUGGCUUAGUUUUGUGAUCUUAUGUCGGUUUAGUAAUGUGUCGGUGUUGAAAAUUCCCUCUAUGACUUCGCUGCUGUCCGCAACCCGGCUUCAUGGCAAGCUAGAGACGGGUAUAAAAUAACCGAACACAUGAAAAACGAUUGCGGAAACAAGCAAUCCGAGAUGCACGUUCUUUUAACUCGGCAUUUCUUUCUUAACUCGGUUAUUGCCAAGCGAAUUCAUCGAAUUACUUUUUUCGAAAGGAUGGUUUUAUCACUUUGCGAUUCAUAUGUCGAACACCGACAAGGCGGACAAAGGAACCGAAGUCACAAAAUUUCACUAAGAGAAAAAAUGAACUCGGGGACCCGGUCGGGAAUUCGAUAAGCAAAAGACUUAAUUUAAUUAAAAACAUGCUGUCUUACAAACAAAAGUGUAUUAUUCAGGUUACAUUUGCACCCGGCAUUCCGGGGAUCUGAUAAUUCUAGAGUUUUUUCUGACAUAAGCUAAGAAGAGACAGAGGGGUUGUUGGCGUCGGUACUUGGAGCAUCCGUCGCAGUGGAGGCCGACUCAACGGCGAUCUCCUCAUCCACCGUCUCUUCCUCAUCUCCGUCGGUCAUCUCGGCUUCGGCUUCAGAUGUCGGGCCCUCCACAAACAUAUGCACGUCGGCAUACUGGAUGAAGGAGUAAGCCCGCUCCUUGCGCUUGGUGAACAACUCGGGAUCCUUGAGAUAAGGGGAGCCGACAUGCAUCGACUGCAGCAUGUCGAGGUUGAUGCCGUUGUACCAAGACAGUACGAACGACAAUGCCUUGUCGGCGUCGAUGCGCGCGGCCGACUCCCGCCAGUUACUUAGCCGAGACUCCACCUCCAGCAAGCGCUUCGCCAACUCCGGGAUGUCCGUCGGAGCUUCUUCCCCCGGCUAGAGAGCACGAAGGCCCGGAUGCCGGCAUUCAGCAUGUUGACGCCGAAUGCCUUCAGUGGAUUGAUCCGGCUUGCGCUGCUCACCAGGUAAUCCACCAAGUCGUAUUCAUACGGCACCGCUGCCCCUGCCGGAUCCCUCUUUCGGCGGGCCGUCCUCACGGCCUCUUGGGCACUCUUGAGGGAUUGGCGGAAGAAUUCUGGCAAAAACAGGCAAAUAGUAGUGAGUCUCGGCACCCUAUUUCUUUUAGUCGGACAAAUGAUCAGAUGAAGAAAUUUGCACCAAGGCGACUUACUCGUCAGCAUAUUAUCAAUUUUGAUGAGCUCGUGCCGGACGACCUUGAACAGCUGGGUCUUCUCGGCAUCCUCUAACUCGGCGGCAGUAGCGCGGGUCUCAAGUUGGGCAACUAGACCCUUGCACUUUUUCACCUCGCUUUCCAGGCGGAUCUUCCUAUCGGCAUGGGAAGAGAGGGCCGAGGUGAGUUGACUCACCUCGGUUUGGCGCGCCUCGGCCUGCGCCGCGAUUUGCGCCUGCAGCCGGGUCACUUCUUCCCGAUGCUGCUCCGCCAAGCGAGUCUUCUCAUCUGUUUAGCAAACAUAUAUUACAGAAGCGGACGUCUAAUACGGAUGAAAUCCAGAAUAGGGAUGAAGUGAUACCUUGGACCUCGACGACGCGCUUCAGCAGCUCCGCUACUUGAGCAUUGUCCCCGGCUGUGAACAAGAGCAAGUGUUAGUCUUGGCAGAGCAUUGAUACCCGGACAAAGGUUUUAUUCCGGUGAAAUAUAUUUACUCUGGCUCUCGCGCUCAGCCUUCAGCGCCUUGUGUGCCGCCGCCAGCUUUUUAUACUUGGCUAAAAGCCCCUUGAAGGCGGCGGUGCACUUGUUCAUGGAGAGCUACAAAACAGCGAUUCACAGAUAAGUUUACUGCUGUAGGAAAUCAACGGUUAUAAGCUUCAGACCGACUAUUCUAAACCCGGCCUGAAUCUCAGGGAAUAAGUGUCUGAAGUUUCUAAGCUUCAGGCCGACUAUUCUAAACUCGGCUUAAAUCUCAGGGAAUAAGUGUCUGAAGUUUCUAAGCUUCAGGCCGACUACUCUAAACCCCGCUUGAAUCUCGGGGAAUAAGUGUCUGAAGUUUCUAAGCUUCAGGCCGACUACUCUAAAUCCGGCCUGAAUCUUGGGGAAUAGGUGUUUGAAGUUUUAUGAGAUAAGCUUCAGGCCGACUAAUUUUUACUCGCCCUAAACCUCGGGGACUAGGAGUAUGGAUACUAUACUAGAAUUAGAAGUUAAGGUAGGAAUUCUUCAUACCUCUGUAGCUCGGCUGGUCUCAAACAAGGCCAACCUUGCUUGGUACAUCCGGGCCGAUACUGACUCCGAAGUUGCUGCUGGUGGUGGUCCCACCAAGGGGCUCUGCCGCGCCGACUGGAGGGUGCUGGAGGUCACCUCGUAGAGGUCGGCGUUGUUCCAGUCCAUCACGAACUGGCCCAACAACCCCCAGCUAUGCCCGCUGGUCGUCCGGAGGGGAACUCCCUGCUGCCUUUCGGAAGGCUGCGGGCCAGUGGAACCCGGAGCCGCCGAUCCUGCUGCAGUAGCGGGGCCUUUAGCCUUCUUGGCCCCCGUGGCAGCAAGUUGGGCGAUUUCCGGCUGCGAUGGAGACAACAAGUAUGGUAAGGAUUACAAGAGGAUGUCGG
rnacentral:lncRNA from 1 species